GGGGGUGACCUGGCUUCGACGCAGGUGUUGAAACCCGAGGUGCAUGCCGAGCUGCUAUCUGCUCGUUAAACGGUGGCAAACCAAGCUAGUUGCGAACGACGACAACUACGCCCUGGCUGCUUAAAUAAGCCAGUGUCCGCCCGGCAAGUGCUUGUGCUUCCGGUCACGGGCAUCGACUCUCACAAGAUCGCGGUGAAGCAGGUCUCUGGCUGAUCCGUUAAAACUAAGUGAGGAUACGUGCUGGUCUUCCCUGCCCUUCGGGUAGCCAGCGCCGACAAUCAAAGAACGGGAUAAGCAUGUAGAGCCGACGGUGGAAGGCCUACGGACGGCGGUUCGAUUCCGCCCACCUCCACCA
rnacentral:tmRNA from 1 species